rnacentral:rRNA from 1 species
GAUGAACGCUAGCGGCAGGCUUAACACAUGCAAGUCGAGGGGUAACAGGGAAGCUUGCUUUCGCUGACGACCGGCGCACGGGUGCGUAACACGUAUACAACUUACCUUUAACUGGGGCAUAGCCCGAAGAAAUUCGGAUUAAUACCCCAUAACAAUGAGAGAUCGCAUGAUUUUUCAUUUAAAGCUCCGGCGGUUAAAGAUGGGUAUGCGGUCUAUUAGCUUGUUGGUGAGGUAACGGCUCACCAAGGCUACGAUGUCUAGGGGGUCUGAGAGGAUGAUCCCCCACACUGGUACUGAGACACGGACCAGACUCCUACGGGAGGCAGCAGUAAGGAAUAUUGGUCAAUGGACGAAAGUCUGAACCAGCUAUGCCGCGUGCAGGAUGAAGGCCCUCUGGGUCGUAAACUGCUUUUGUAUGGGAAAAAACUUCCGCACGUGUGCGGAACUGAUGGUACCAUAAGAAUAAGGAUCGGCUAACUCCGUGCCAGCAGCCGCGGUAAUACGGAGGAUCCAAGCGUUAUCCGGAUUUAUUGGGUUUAAAGGGUGCGUAGGCGGAUUAUUAAGUCAGUGGUGAAAGUCUGCAGCUUAACUGUAGAAUUGCCAUUGAAACUAUUAAUCUUGAGUUCAGUUGAGGUGGGCGGAAUGUGUAGUGUAGCGGUGAAAUGCAUAGAUAUGACACAGAACGCCGAUUGCGAAGGCAGCUUACUAAGCCAUGAUUGACGCUGAGGCACGAAAGCGUGGGGAGCGAACAGGAUUAGAUACCCUGGUAGUCCACGCCGUAAACGAUGAUCACUCGCUGUCUGCGAUACACAGUAGGCGGCUGAGCGAAAGCAUUAAGUGAUCCACCUGGGGAGUACGAUCGCAAGGUUGAAACUCAAAGGAAUUGACGGGGGCCCGCACAAGCGGAGGAACAUGUGGUUUAAUUCGAUGAUACGCGAGGAACCUUACCUGGGCUUAAAUGUAGAUUGCAUAGAUGGGAAACUGGUCUUUCUUCGGACGGAUUGCAAGGUGCUGCAUGGUUGUCGUCAGCUCGUGCCGUGAGGUGUCGGGUUAAGUCCCAUAACGAGCGCAACCCUCAUCAUUAGUUGCCAGCGGAUAAUGCCGGGGACUCUAAUGAAACUGCCGGUGUAAACCGAGAGGAAGGUGGGGAUGACGUCAAGUCAGCACGGCCCUUAUGUCCAGGGCUACACACGUGUUACAAUGGUCGGUACAAAGGGCAGCUACCUGGCGACAGGAUGCUAAUCUCUAAAACCGAUCUCAGUUCGGAUCGAAGUCUGCAACUCGACUUCGUGAAGCUGGAUUCGCUAGUAAUCGCGCAUCAGCCUGUCGCGGUGAAUACGUUCCCGGGCCUUGUACACACCGCCCGUCACACCAUGGGAGUAGGUUGCUCCAGAAGUAGUUAGCCUAACCGCAAGGAGGGCGAUUACCACGGAGUGAUUCAUGACUGGGGUG